rnacentral:rRNA from 1 species
UACAGAGGUCUCAAGCGUUGUUCGGAUUCAUUGGGCGUAAAGGGUGCGUAGGUGGCGCAGUAAGUCGGGUGUGAAAUUUCGGAGCUUAACUCCGAAACUGCAUUCGAUACUGCCGUGCUUGAGGACUGGAGAGGAGACUGGAAUUUACGGUGUAGCAGUGAAAUGCGCAGAUAUCAGGAGGAACACCGGUGGCGAAGGCGGGUCUCUGGGCCGAAACUGACGCUGAGGAGCGAAAGCGUGGGGAGCGAACAGG